CACCAGCGCCUCAAGUGGUACCCACGAAUAUUGGGCCUAGAGCGUCCGUAGCUGGAUUGAAAAGUCCACUGUGAAAUGUUGGGGCUCAACUCCAACGCGUGCAGUAGAUACUUUCAGUCUCGGGAAUGGGGGAGGUUCGGGGUACUUCCGGGGUAGGGGUAAAAUCUGUUGAGCCUGGAAGGACCACCAGUGGCGAAGGCGCCGAACCAAAACAUGUCCGACAGUGAGGGACGAAAGCUGGGGGA
rnacentral:rRNA from 1 species